UUCGGACCUCCGAUCAAGCAAGAGGACCCGC
rnacentral:rRNA from 1 species